rnacentral:snRNA from 1 species
UCAAUUACCUGGACAGGGUCAAUAAGCUAUCAAGAAGGUUCAUGGCUUAGGUUGGUGACCUCCAUUGCACUUUGGAGGGGUGCCUGCCUAAGAUCGGCCCAAGUGGUUGAACCUACGUCAUAAUUUGUGCCAGUGGAGGCCUGCGUUCGCGCGUCCUCUGC